GGGGCUAUCUGGUUUUGACAGCAGGUAGAAUGGUUGUGUAAGCACGCAGAGCAAUGAGGCAACGCUCUUUAAUCUCGCUUCAAAAUAUAACUGGCAACUAUGAGUAUGCUCUCGCUGCCUAAUCGAAGUAUAGUAGAUUAGCUUUUUUCGGAUGCAAGGCGUCUGAACGAGACAUCGCUCCAAGCCGAGUCUGUGGGCUCAAUGGAUAUAGCGGUGCGGAAAUUCACAGAGCAGAUAAGCCGGUAGUUGGUGGCUCGGGUCUUGCUGCCGGACGAAAAUCAAGGCCGGGAUAAGCGUGUAGAAAGCGCAGGUGUUCCUUGUUUGGACGCGGGUUCGACUCCCGCUAGCUCCAC
rnacentral:tmRNA from 1 species